CAGAGAAAGAAAAAGGACAGAGAGGGGGAUGUCUAUGUCUGAAUGAGCUCAAUAUAAAAGUUUCAAUGUAAUACCUCCUGAAAACGCACUAUAUCUUAUUCUGCUCGGCAACUCUGCGACACUUUGCUGUCCAAAGCAAUCAGGUUAAUAAUCCUUACAGGACAUGACUGCCCUCUAUUGGUAUGCAGAGUGCAUGAAGCGAUGCAAGGUAUAGCCGCAGGGAACUUCCUCUGUUGAUGUUGCGUAGAUGAGAACGGGCACAGCAGAAUGAAUGCAGAAAGUUGUGAAGAGGAGAGAGCUAAAUGUGAUGUUCAAGGGAAGGCUCCUUUCUGCUGGACCACGGACCCCUGGGAACAUCUCUCUCUCCUGACUCCUGCUGCCUCACAUAUUUUCGGAUCUAUAUCGUCAUACCCUGGGCUCCGCUGCAUCAUUGCUCUCUUCUCUAUCUCCUAUGUCACCAUGGUGGAGUGGAGGUCGUGUGACUCUGGCACCACUUGGCAGUGCCUCGAUGGCUCUCCCUGAGGAUUCUUCAGUCUUUUUUUUUUCCUCACUCGAAUUGAGGGUCUACGGACAGAGGAUGUUGUUCACUGCACAGAAUGUAAAGCAAAUGAGACAAUGCCGCUGUAAUUUGGGGUUAUAUAAAUAGAAUACAACCAGAAUAUGACUGACUGACUCACAUUCAGUGCUACUAAUGCUGCAAGUUUCUCUUUUUUGUUUAUAUAGUGAAAUGGUCUAGCUGGUCAAGUUGGGCUUGUUAUGUCAAAGCUGUAACAUGGUUGCUUUGAAGAAAAAUAAAAUGUUCUUUUCUUUUAUUUGAAAAAAAAGUUAGCUGUACUCCCUGGCAACAGUCUCUCUAAACACGCCUUGCCAAAGGCAAGAAAAACACUUUGUGAUGUCUGGAAAAACAGGGUGAUAAAGAUAAUUUGUCUAUCAUCUGUCUGACGUACAGCCACAUGAUCGCCAAAGUCAAAGAUUUACUGCUGCUCAACAACAGCUCACACAAAGCGCGUAGUGCCAACAAAAUAGCCGACAGCAGGCGCUUCCUAAGCUCGGUGCUCCCUUGCAGGCACAGAGAGUAAUAAUCUAUAAAUGCAGUUCCUGCCUGCUCGAUGUGUGCUUUUAUUUUUGUGAACAUCAAUUGAAAUUCUCUACAUUUUGCAAGCAAGGAGCUUUCUAUCUUCUUUGUUGUUUUACUGUCUGGGUCAGUUGGAAGCCCCGCUGCGUUUCCCAACUGCAUUUGAUGUUGAAGGUAAUGAGGACAUGUUUUAGGGGAGAGCAUUUUUAAUGCAGUACCAUGAAAUAGCAGAAAUCCCAUGACUUCCCUUUUGCCAAUAUAGGUACCUCAGAAAGGCUUUUUUCAUGCUUUAGUGUAAUCUUAUAGGUGGUUGUAGGAGUAAUGGCUUUAUU